rnacentral:rRNA from 1 species
CUACGUGCCAGCAGCCGCGGUAAUACGUAGGUGGCAAGCGUUGUCCGGAAUUAUUGGGCGUAAAGCGCGCGCAGGCGGAUUGGUCAGUCUGUCUUAAAAGUUCGGGGCUUAACCCCGUGAUGGGAUGGAAACUGCCAAUCUAGAGUGUCGGAGAGGAAAGUGGAAUUCCUAGUGUAGCGGUGAAAUGCGUAGAUAUUAGGAAGAACACCAGUGGCGAAGGCGACUUUCUGGACGAAAACUGACGCUGAGGCGCGAAAGCCAGGGGAGCGAACGGGAUUAGAUACCCCGGUAGUCCUGGCCGUAAACGAUGGGUACUAGGUGUAGGAGGUAUCGACCCCUUCUGUGCCGGAGUUAACGCAAUAAGUACCCCGCCUGGGGAGUACGACCGCAAGGUUGAAACUCAAAGGAAUUGACGGGGGCCCGCACAAGCGGUGGAGUAUGUGGUUUAAUUCGACGCAACGCGAAGAACCUUACCAGGUCUUGACAUUGAUGGACAGAACUAGAGAUAG